GACGAACCGUGCGAACGUUAUUCGGAAUCACUGGGCUUAAAGCGUGUGUAGGCGGACCGUUAAGUACCUUGUGAAAUCCCCCGGCUCAACCGGGGAACGGCUGGGUAUACUGGCGGUCUUGAGCCAUCCAGGGGCAGUCGGAACAGACGGUGGAGCGGUGAAAUGCGUAGAUAUCGGCUGGAACGCCGAAGGUGAAAACAGACUGCUGGGGAUGAGCUGACGCUGAGACACGAAAGCCAGGGGAGCGAACGGG
rnacentral:rRNA from 1 species